UCUCUUGGUAAGCGGCGAGUGGCGGACGGGUGAGUAAUAUAUCGGAACGUGCCCAGUAGCGGGGGAUAACUACUCGAAAGAGUGGCUAAUACCGCAUACGCCCUACGGGGGAAAGGGGGGGAUUCUUCGGAACCUCUCACUAUUGGAGCGGCCGAUAUCGGAUUAGCUAGUUGGUGGGGUAAAGGCUCACCAAGGCAACGAUCCGUAGCUGGUUUGAGAGGACGACCAGCCACACUGGGACUGAGACACGGCCCAGACUCCUACGGGAGGCAGCAGUGGGGAAUUUUGGACAAUGGGGGAAACCCUGAUCCAGCCAUCCCGCGUGUAUGAUGAAGGCCUUCGGGUUGUAAAGUACUUUUGGCAGAGAAGAAAAGGUAUCUCCUAAUACGAGAUACUGCUGACGGUAUCUGCAGAAUAAGCACCGGCUAACUACGUGCCAGCAGCCGCGGUAAUACGUAGGGUGCAAGCGUUAAUCGGAAUUACUGGGCGUAAAGCGUGUGUAGGCGGUUCGGAAAGAAAGAUGUGAAAUCCCAGGGCUCAACCUUGGAACUGCAUUUUUAACUGCCGAGCUAGAGUAUGUCAGAGGGGGGUAGAAUUCCACGUGUAGCAGUGAAAUGCGUAGAUAUGUGGAGGAAUACCGAUGGCGAAGGCAGCCCCCUGGGAUAAUACUGACGCUCAGACACGAAAGCGUGGGGAGCAAACAGGAUUAGAUGCGC
rnacentral:rRNA from 2 species